rnacentral:rRNA from 1 species
CCUACGGGAGGCAGCAGUGGGGAAUUUUGGACAAUGGGCGCAAGCCUGAUCCAGCAAUGCCGCGUGAGUGAAGAAGGCCUUCGGGUUGUAAAGCUCUUUUGUCAGGGAAGAAACGGUCUACUCUAAUACAGUGGGCUAAUGACGGUACCUGAAGAAUAAGCACCGGCUAACUACGUGCCAGCAGCCGCGGUAAUACGUAGGGUGCAAGCGUUAAUCGGAAUUACUGGGCGUAAAGCGUGCGCAGGCGGUUAUAUAAGUCAGAUGUGAAAUCCCCGGGCUCAACCUGGGAACUGCAUUUGAGACUGUAUGGCUAGAGUGUGUCAGAGGGGGGUAGAAUUCCACGUGUAGCAGUGAAAUGCGUAGAUAUGUGGAGGAAUACCGAUGGCGAAGGCAGCCCCCUGGGAUAACACUGACGCUCAUGCACGAAAGCGUGGGGAGCAAACAGGAUUAGAUACCCUGGUAGUCCACGCCCUAAACGAUGUCUACUAGUUGUCGGGACUUAAUUGUCUUGGUAACGCAGCUAACGCGUGAAGUAGACCGCCUGGGGGAGUACGGUCGCAAGAUUAAAACNCAAAUGAAAUUGACGG